rnacentral:lncRNA from 13 species
GGAAAUCAAGGCCUCACUCAAAAUGUGUUCUGGGGCUCAAAGGGCAGUUGGGGUUUUGAGGAUGACCUGCCUGCCGGUGGACCUGGAGUUGGGGAAAGAAGGCACCAUAAUUUUCAUGUCCUAUGCCCUCCUCACCCACCACCGCCCUUAAGCAGAGCUACACUGCUGCCUUUCCCACCAGACAGUGAGGCCCCGAGGACGGAAACUGGGUUUUAUUUGUUGCUGCUUCACUGCCCCCACCGCUGGCCCCUGCAACUCCAGUUCUUGCGGUGUACAAGUUCCCCAGGAGAGGGGCCUCGGCACCACCAUGGUACAGAGCCCGGCACAGGUACCCAGUGCCAAGAUUUGGGAGAGCACCCGAAGCGGGGACCCGGAGGUUGGGGCAGGCAGCACGCAGACACUUGCCACCUGCUUGGCCCUGGGAAGCACCUGCUCCCAGGCUACUGUAGGGGCCACUGCUGCUCUUGGACGCCAGAAUGGCUAGACCGAGCAUCCCUAACCCAGCUGGUGCCACUCUCAGAAGGCGCUACAGAGCUGACACACAGGAACCAAGGUAGGCCCCUCUGCUCCUGCAGCCUGCCCGUUUCCUUUCCCGGUGUCUUUUUCUGUCUUCUUCCCAAACCAUCUCUGACAAGUGGGGACAAAGUGAGGGGCACUCUGAGGAUUUCUGAAGGCCUGGUUCUUAGAAACCUUUUUUUUUUUUUUUUUUUGAAUUUAAAUAAAUCUUCCAGAAGAUACUCUUCUGUCCUAAAAAGGAAUCUCUCAAAGUGUAUCUCCAAACGGUCACCAGGUCAGUGGUACAGCCCUCCAGAGCAGGGAGCUGAACCACAGGGUCCUGCAGGUGGCUACCACUACGCAGGGAGAUGCUUCUUUUUCCACAUUUGCUGUUCAGAGGGUAUCUUACUGCGCCACAGCCGUCUCUGUCCAUGUGGGGGAAGGAUGGCAAGCUGCCCAGGGCCACCCUGUGGCAUAACCUAUGGAGUCAGCUCAGUUCUCAGCCAGCCCAGGAGCACGGGGGAGCGUCUGCUGGGCCCCAGAGGACUGGGAAUGCAGCAGGGAACAAAACAGACACAAAGCCCUGCCCUCAGGGGGGCGCUGUUCUUCCAGCUCACACCCCCUGAUGGGUGUAAGGAGUGA